GACGAACGCUGGCGGCGUGCCUAAUACAUGCAAGUAGAACGCUGAAGGAGGAGCUUGCUUCUCUGGAUGAGUUGCGAACGGGUGAGUAACGCGUAGGUAACCUGCCUGGUAGCGGGGGAUAACUAUUGGAAACGAUAGCUAAUACCGCAUAAUAGUAGAUGUUGCAUGACAUUUACUUAAAAGGUGCAAUUGCAUCACUACCAGAUGGACCUGCGUUGUAUUAGCUAGUUGGUGGGGUAACGGCUCACCAAGGCGACGAUACAUAGCCGACCUGAGAGGGUGAUCGGCCACACUGGGACUGAGACACGGCCCAGACUCCUACGGGAGGCAGCAGUAGGGAAUCUUCGGCAAUGGACGAAAGUCUGACCGAGCAACGCCGCGUGAGUGAAGAAGGUUGUCGGAUCGUAAAGCUCUGUUGUAAGAGAAGAACGAGUGUGAGAGUGGAAAGUUCACACUGUGACGGUAUCUUACCAGAAAGGGACGGCUAACUACGUG
rnacentral:rRNA from 1 species